rnacentral:lncRNA from 1 species
UUUCAAUCUUUACUGUUGUGUUGUUAAUCUAAGUAUGUUUCUCUUAUUUAACUAAAUUUAAAUUAACUUAAGAGCAAGUUUUUAAUUAAUCCUUACUUUUUUUUGACUUUCUCCUUACUUCCUCUUUAAAAACCUCUAGAUAAAUAAUAUUUACCAUGGCGUACCUUUACCUCAAUUUAUUUGUUAAAUUGUAUAUGUACUCUAUUGGGUCACUCCGUUUCCUAGAUGUUUUUCACUUUUUCUUCUCACUGUACAUUCUCACUUAGAGUUUUGCUAGUUUCGGUAGUUUUAUCUUUGUAUGACUCCAGGUUUGUAUGUAUAAGAUUUAUUUAUCACCUUGCUCGAAUUGUGUAAAACUUUGAUCUCAACUUUAAUUCAGAACUUGGCUCGAUAGCUAAUAUUCGAAUUUUUUCGUCCUCCAUAUUAUAAUAAUUGUGAAUAUUUUUCAUAUAAAAAUAUAUUGAAGUUAUUGAAUAGAGGAAUCAGAAUCAUCUCAUUGCCUUCUCUGCUUUAUAAGUUAGGAUAUUAUUCUACUAUGUUGCAGGUGUGCAUAUAGAGCCUAGUUAUUUAUUUCAUUUGUUUGGUUUCAUUUUUUUGUUAAAGAUUGGUAGCAGAAGGCAUUUUGCCCUUUUUGGCACUGUUAUUUAAUAUGCCACAGCGUUAGAAUUGCUUGUUCCAUACUUGUUUGUGUACACACCAUAAUGUAUUUAGUUACAUAGUUGUCAAUAAUUGAGAUAGCAGGUGUGUGCAUGUAGUUUAAUAUGCCACAGCGUUAGAAUUGCUUGUUCCAUAAUUGUUUGUUUACAAAUCAUAGUGUAUGUAGUGACAUAUUUGUCAGUAACACCUUUGGGCAACUGUUAUUUGCUACGCCGCAGCUUUGUUUCAUACUUGUUUCUUUAAACAAAUAUUUAUUUAUCUAGUUACACCAUUAAUUGAGAAAACAUUUGAAGGUACGUUAAGUCAUGAAUUCAAAUAACAGUUAAGGUGUGUGACUGACCUUGAAGGGGGUUUAGGGUUGUAAAACCAGAAUGAAUCCUUAAUUUCUUUCUGUAGUUAAAUAGCUUGGCUGUAUUUUGUGUUGCUCAUGAGGUGUAUACGUUAAGAUAUCUUCUUAGUUCUUACGUCAGCGAGGUCAUUUUUAUUCCGUACUAUAGUCAAGUCUUUGAGCUCACAUUUCAGCUAGUAUGUCCUUCUAAACUCAACAACUAUUACAUGCCUAUAAUUUUGCAAAUAAGUACCUCUUGUAGGUUCAUUAUUAGUAUCAUGCUUUCUGAAAUGCGAAGUUAAUAUAAUUAACUUUUUCCAGAUAUCUUUUCGCAUCGUACAAACUAGGACACAUAUUGAAUCGUAAAGUUCAUAUCAUCCCAUCGUCAAGUUAAUCUUAUCUCUGUUUAGUCCGCAUGCUAAGUUUGUCUUACGUCUACUUUCUAAACUUCAACAAAAGUUCAUUGAGAAAAACACCAGCAUUCACAAUACCCAAACAAUAUCACUAGAUUCAUCAUAGAAUAUAUCUUCAGUAUACUGUAGAUGUUGAUACUUCUCAAAAAGAAACGGGAGGACUAUUUUUUUCCGUAGUUAUAGCGUUGUUUUUAAUACGGCUAUUUUAUCUUAGAUGGUGCGCCGUGAACUUCUUUGACUCUGCAUUGUCUUGAAUUUAGUGCAUGGCUGAAUUUGUAGUGUGGUUGUGGUAAACUGUCAUUAUUAAGGUGUAAUUUUGAAUGUUGACCUUUUGUCUGGGUUAGUUAUCGGUCUCUUUCUAAAGCUUUGGUGGCACUUUGAUUUGUCGAAAAAAUAACAACUAUUUGAAGAAUGAUCUACCGGAUAGUCAUGUACCUGAUAUUAGUUGUGUCUUUUCUCUUUUGAGGUAACCGCAACACUUGCAAGCUUGAAAAGAUGAACUUGUAUGUGGUCUGGGACUUGGUGGUGUAUUUGGUAUCUUGCACUUUUUUUAGAUCUCUAGCAUGCAUCUUUGCUAUUUAUGUGCUAUUUUUUUCCUUAUAGUGCAUUAAUACACAGAACUACCUUUUGUAUUUUUUUUCCUUAGUACGUUAUUUAUGUUUCUUUUCUUUUUGUAUUUAGCUCUUAUGUUUACUAGUUCUACUUGGUUUUCGCUCAUGAAAAUCUCUGCACCGCAGUUAUCCAUGCUCGAGUAUAAUUAACUUAAAACAUCUUAGAAUUAUGUGAAGUUGUCUGUAUCCCAUACCAUAUUGAGGUCUGUCCACAUUUUGGUUAUAAUAAGGCUUGUCCGUCUAAGAUAGUUGAAGUUACUAACUGAUAUUUUUUACAUUUGUAAGUUUCUUUUGAUUUUGUUCGACUGUAUGUUCCCUCUGUUUAUGGUACAAUUGUGAAAUGAUUAUGAUCAAAACAAUUUUAGUGCCUAUAUAGUUCAUUAGCACUAUUGUACAUCUGAAAUGCAAGUUUCUACAUUUUCUGUAUCUUUCUUACAGCAUUUGUUCUAUAGCUUAGCUAAACAUACUGCUAUGUUCUUUUCAACUUUUUAUCCAUUGUUAUUGUAUGGCUGUUUUACAUUGGAUAAUGUACUGUACAUUAACUUGUUUUGACAGGGUCUCAGAUUCGGUUGAUGUUGGAAUUUCUAUUGUGAUAGUGUACAAUCAUGAUGCGAGGUGUUAAUUUGUUUAUGACAAUUGCUGGUUGACAAGUUUAAAAUGAUGAUUUUGACUGGGGUCUGUGACUUGAGGUGUAUUUAUUAGAGUGAGUACAGAUUUCUUUUAUUGUUUUAAGAUGUUGAGAAUGAAAAUUUGCUAUUUAUAUACAAUGUUUUUAUUUACGAGUAAGUCUGUUGGAUAGAUCGAGUCUUGCUUGGCGGUAGCUUCUAUUUGUAUGAUUUGUUUUGAAAAGGAAUUGCUGGUUGUUCUGUCGAUGGAUGUGUUCUCAUAGCCUUGCAUUUUUUUUUGUGCGCUAGCUGUGGGCAAAAGGACCCCUUGAAAGACUAUCUCAGUAGGUCAUUCUUAUUUGUUUUGUUCUAUCUUUUUGGGUCUCGACCAUUCUGGUAUGUUCUUAAAUCUUGGUUUUUAGUAGAUUACAAGAUACUGUACUGUCUAUAUGUCCCCUCUGGUUGGCUGCUUUAGUUCUUGUGUCUCAUUUUGAUGUGGGUUGUAUGUUGUUUGCAUCUCCAUUUACAGUUUGUAUUGUUUGCUCCGUUUACAUGUUUCAUCUUCGUCUCUUUAGAUUUAUUAUUGCCUCUUUAUGUGUGAAGCGUAUGUAUGGGGUGGGUGAGGGUGCGUAACACUGCCAAUGCCGGUCCCAAGCCCGGAUAAAAGUGGAGGGAGCACCAACUAACUAUUGUAUAUGGGACAGAUGAACAUCCUGUUAUGCUCUACCUAGUUUUGUUGUAUAUUUUUGGAAAAGUUGUUUCAGACUUUCAGUGCAGUAGAACCGGAGCGGAUGGCCCUAGCUGUAUAUUUUUGGAAGUUGUUUCAGACUUCCAGUCCAGCUUGAGUAUGCACACAGGAAAUUGAAAUCUCGGGUCUAAACUGAUCCUAGCAUCAAAAUAGGGAAGAAAUAAAGAAAAAUAGGGAAGAAAGUAAGAACUUGGAAAUUGAUGGAAGUCGUCUUAAACUUUUUAGUUCAUUAAAUUUUGGGGUUCUUCUUUUUACUGUGGUCAACUCUACAAAUAGCACGGGCAAAACAUGUAUUCAUCAGAUGGUGGUAACAAAGCCGAAACUUUGCAGGUGUGGUACCUGGUAAUUCAUUUUUGUUAGUUGUCAGCCUCACUUGACGAAACGACAGCUUAGUGCUGUAUUUCAUUGAUUGAUGAAGAGAGAGCAAUAAGGG